CACGCCGUAAACGAUGAUUACUGGGUGUAGGGGGUAUCGACUCCCUCUGUGCCGAAGCUAACGCGAUAAGUAAUCCACCUGGGGAGUACGGCCGCAAGGCUAAAACUCAAAGGAAUUGACGGGGGCCCGCACAAGCAGUGGAGUAUGUGGUUUAAUUCGAGGCAACGCGAAGAACCUUACCAGGGUUUGACAUCCUGCGCUCGGGGUAGAGAUACCUUAUUCCCUUCGGGGACGCAGAGACAGGUGG
rnacentral:rRNA from 1 species